CAGGACCGGAGCUGCGAGCAGCCCUACCUGCGGACACUAAGCUAAACAAAGAGUUUUGCGGCCUGCCAGAUGCUUACCCUGAACAAGCCAUGAACCAGUUCUAAUGGGUAGUCUAGGAUGGUGGAAAGAGAAUGAAGAGGAGACAGUUGUCAACUGGUACACUGGACAGGAAAGGUCUUCCAUUUCUUAAGAGCCAUCGAGGAGCCGCGCCUGAAGUCGCAGUAUUUCCAGAUUAGGGUGAUGCAUCUGACUGGCAUUCUGAGACAACAGAUGAAAACCAGUUGGAAGUCUCAGUGGUGGACAAGAAGCAAGCCAAAUGAGGUAAGGAUAUCAAACUUGUCUUGGCCAAGUCACCGCAAGUAAAAUGACUUUGGCCCUCUCCUGCUUGAUCUUGUUCAGUACUUUAAAAAAUAACAGUGUAAAGAAGACCCAUUGUCCAUGAAAUAAGGAAGGCAUCCUCUAGUGACUGAGGGUCUAGUCCCCAUCUGGAGCAAAAUUUCUUGCAUUUUGUUUUUGUGGCAAUUGCAAAAAGGUCCACUUCUGGAAACCCCAAAAUUACCAUUCAUAAUUCUGGGAUAAAUGUUUGCAGAGGUUGUUGGUCUUGGUAUUCUGUGUACCAGGGAUGUAGGAAGCUGAGAUGACUAUUUCCAGAGUUUAAUUGCUUUGGCACAAAAUGAGGAAGCGUGAGCACCACCCUGAUGACAGAUGUGGAACAUGCAGGCCCUGUUGUGUGUCAUGAGCUUGAUGGUCUUGACUCUGAUCAAAGGAAGUAAAUGAAUACAAGAAUCCCUGACAGAUCUCAGUUCUAAAAGGUUGAUGUGAAGAUGCUUUUGGGGACACUAUUUGCCCUGGAUGGUGUGUGACCCUAGAUGUGCCCCCAUCAUUCCAAGAGGAAUGUGUCUCAUGUUAUAACAAUGGUAGAAGGAGCCUAAAUGAAAGGGACACCCAAACUUUGGAGGGGUCCUUCUACCGAAUCAAUGACUUCAGAACCUGAUAGGGAACAGAUACCUGCUUGUCCAGAUUGUGCUUGUUCAGUACAUAAACCGUCCUGGGCAAUCCCUGGAGGCACUGAAGAUGUAACUUGGCAUGUUGGGUUAUUAAAGUGCAAACUGCCACAUGACACAGCAAUUGGAGACAAUUGCUGAGGUUUGAGGACUUAUCUGAAUUCUCAAAAUGAGAUUUCUUAGGAUCACUAAUCUGUCCAUAAGUAGUUAAGCCCUUGCUGUCACAAGAUCCAGAGAAGUUUCUAUGAAAUAUAUCUGCUGUACUGGGGUCAAAAUGGACUUUUCAGGGUUGAGUCAGAGGCCUAUGCUGCUGUUUAUAUUGCCAAUAGGACCUUGUCGAGAUAAGGAAAGACCAUUAUCUCUAGCUGACAUAGGUGGGCAGAUACAACCGCUGUGCUCUUUGGGAAUACCUGUGACAUGAGUAGACCUGUCAACCUGUGUAUGAUCCAUAAAAACUUAACAUGAGGCAUUACAAUUGUAUCAGGACAAAUUCAUUCAUAUGUGAAUUUCAAAGAGAUGUACUAGACCAGCAUCAUUAACCCAUUCAUUUGCAGUAAUAGAAACAAAGAGCAGUUGCUAAGUAUAUUUGUCUGUGUUUACCUAUGUCCUGUUAAAAGUUUAACAAUGUAACCAAAUUAUCUUGUAGAUGCUAAUUCCCUUUCAUGUCUUAAUUGCCUGACAUUAAGUAUGAAAAUAUGAUCAGUUAACAUUAAGAACAAAGAUGUGAGAUACUACAGGAAAUGAAUAUUAUCUAUAUUGUCUUCAGUAUAACUAGCUCUGUUAUAAUGAAGGAUCAGCUAAUUGUCCUAUGUGAAUGAGUGUAACUAGUUUACUUGUGUAUGCAUAGGAAAUAGAAGAUAAGCUUGAAAGCAAAGGUCCACAGGCUAUCUGCAUGGCCUAUUCUUCCUCAGAGGAAAACCCUGCUGUGAUAAUUGCUGUGAGGAGACUUGUCAGCCUGCUAGAGAGCUAUAAAAGAGAAACUGUGGGUCUGAUCCUUUCAUCUCAGGUCUGCUUAAACUUUAACAGGGAAAGUCUAAGCCAUAGGACCGAGAUCUCCCAGUAGUUACUUGGAUUAUUCUGGAAUUCUCAUGGAAAAACUCUAACAGACUGUAUACCUGAACUGCCUAUUGGACUAUAACCCUGUGGAUUGAAUCCAGAGAGACUUUUACAAAUCAGCAGCCUCAGCAUCUCUACUAUGAAACAACUAAGGACGUUUUCCUCAUUCAUAUGUAUAUUGAUAUUGUGCCCAUUUAUAACUCUCUUCUUUCUUUGAUUAAUAAAUCUUAGAUGUGUGUA